rnacentral:rRNA from 1 species
AUUGAACGCUGGCGGCAGGCCUAACACAUGCAAGUCGAGCGAGCGGCGGACGGGUGAGUAAUGUCUGGGAAUUGCCCAGUCGAGGGGGAUAACAGUUGGAAACGACUGCUAAUCCCGCAUACGAUUGGAAUGCCCAUGUGGGUUUAGCUAGUUUGGGGGGUAAUGGCUCACCAAGGCGACGCUCCCUAUCUGGUCUGAGAGGAUGAGCAGCCACACUGGAACUGAGACACGGUCCAGACUCCGACGGGAGGCAGCAGUGGGGAAUAGUGCACAAUGGGUGAAACCCUGAUGCAGCCAGGCCGCGUGUGUGAAGAAGGCCUUCGGGUUGUAAAGCACUUUCAGCGGGGAGGCGUUACUCGCAGAAGAAGCACCGGCUAACUCCGUGCCAGCAGCCGCGGUAAUUC